rnacentral:rRNA from 1 species
AUUGAACGCUGGCGGCAUGGCUAAAACAUACAAGUCGAACGAGAAGCAGGCUUCGGCCUGUGGACAGUGGCGAAAGGGCGAGUAAUGCGUUUCUAACGUGCCCGGGGUCAGGGAUAGCCCAGGGAAACCUGGAAUAAUACCUGAUGACCCUGCGACGUCGUAUGUCGUUGCAGGCAAAGAUUUAUUGCCUCGGGAUCGGGAAACGUCCUAUCAGCUUGUUGGUGAGGUAAAGGCUCACCAAGGCUAAGACGGGUAGCGGGUGUGAGAGCACGGCCCGCCGCAUCGGGACUGAGACACUGCCCGG